rnacentral:tRNA from 1 species
GGGCCCGUAGCUCAACUGGAUAGAGCAGGGACCUUCUAAGUCCAAGGUUGGGGGUUCGAGCCCUCCCGGGCCCGCCA